rnacentral:rRNA from 1 species
GCGAGUGAAGAGGGAAGAGCUCAUCAUUGGAAUCUGGCAGCGUUGCGCUGUCCGAGUUGUAGAUGAGAAGAGUAGGUCAUCUGGACUGCGUGGUGUCCAAGUACAAUAGGCCGUCAGUGGGACAUCAUAGAGGGUGACAAUCCCGUCCUUGACAACCAACGUACGAGUCCAUUACGAUGCCUAUCUCAGAGAGUCGAGCAGUUUGGGAUUUGCUGCUUAAACAUGGGAGGUAGAUUCCUUCUAAAGCUAAAUACAGGCAAGAGACCGAUAGAGAACAAGUACCGCAAGGGAAAGAUGAAAUAGAACUCUGUGAAGGGAGUCAAAAAGACGUGAAAUUGUUGCGAGAGAAGCGAUUCAAGUCAGCGUAGCUAGGCCCAUCAAGCUUCUUGCUUUGGACUAGCUUUGCCAGCGGUCUUGUCCUUUUAGAGACUUGACUUUUGACGUGCCCUGUCCGGUCUAACGGGCAGGCCCUUCGGGGCCAGUGGCAUGGCUGGUGGAAUGGCUUGCAAUCGACCCGUCUUGAAACACGGACCAAGGAGUCUAACAUGUGUGCGAGUAUAAGGGUGGCAAACCCGUAUGCGCAAAGAAAGUGAUAGCCUUUUAUGGCUGAGAAUGGCCUGAUGACCAGACAAGCAAUAUUAUGUUCCUCGUACGGUCAUUGCCCAAGUCCCGUGGUCAGAUCCCAUGGACAUGGAGUUAGAGCAUACAUGCUAGGACCCGAAAGAUGGUGAACUAUGCCUGGACAAAGCGAAGCCAAAGGAAACUCUGGUGGAGGCUUGUAGCGAUUCUGACGUGCAAAUCGAUCGUCUGAUCUGGGUAUAGGGGCGAAAGACUAAUCGAACCAUCUCAUAGCU